rnacentral:rRNA from 1 species
AGUCGAGCGGAUGACAGGAGCUUGCUCCUGAAUUCAGCGGCGGACGGGUGAGUAAUGCCUAGGAAUCUGCCUGGUAGUGGGGGACAACGUUUCGAAAGGAACGCUAAUACCGCAUACGUCCUACGGGAGAAAGCAGGGGACCUUCGGGCCUUGCGCUAUCAGAUGAGCCUAGGUCGGAUUAGCUAGUUGGUGAGGUAAUGGCUCACCAAGGCGACGAUCCGUAACUGGUCUGAGAGGAUGAUCAGUCACACUGGAACUGAGACACGGUCCAGACUCCUACGGGAGGCAGCAGUGGGGAAUAUUGGACAAUGGGCGAAAGCCUGAUCCAGCCAUGCCGCGUGUGUGAAGAAGGUCUUCGGAUUGUAAAGCACUUUAAGUUGGGAGGAAGGGCAGUAAAUUAAUACUUUGCUGUUUUGACGUUACCGACAGAAUAAGCACCGGCUAACUCUGUGCCAGCAGCCGCGGUAAUACAGAGGGUGCAAGCGUUAAUCGGAAUUACUGGGCGUAAAGCGCGCGUAGGUGGUUCGUUAAGUUGGAUGUGA